AGCCACACGAUGAACACGUAUCGAACUAUUCUUUUGCCUUUUACUAAAGAAUGUCGUGAAUGUAUUGCAAAUAGUGGCAUACAUCAAUUUUUGGAGGGAUUCUCUUCACUGAAGAU
rnacentral:snRNA from 2 species